GGCACUUCUUUUCUUGUUCCUUCCUCUUUUUCUCCCAAUUUAUUUUUUUUUUUUUUUUUUUUUUUUUGGUCC
rnacentral:ribozyme from 13 species